rnacentral:rRNA from 1 species
AACGUCUCAGUUCGGACUGUGGUCUGCAACUCGACCACACGAAGCUGGAAUCGCUAGUAAUCGCGAAUCAGCAUGUCGCGGUGAAUACGUUCCCGGGUCUUGUACACACCGCCCGUCACACCAUGGGAGUUGGAAAUACCCGAAGCCUGUGAGCUAACUGUAAAGAGGCAGCAGUCGAAGGUAGAGCCAAUGAUUGGGGUGAAGUCGUAACAAGGUACC